rnacentral:lncRNA from 1 species
CCACCCUCUGUUUAUUGGCCGGCUCAUUCCUUGCAAAACGUCCCAAACAUUGUGCUCGACCCUCUCCAAUUGUAUUGUAAAAAAUUGUGGACGU